rnacentral:lncRNA from 1 species
GUGUCUAAGGUAAGAGGUUACAAAGGCUAAGCCUAAGUGGACUCGUGGUUAUUUAAUUGGUUUUCUUAGCUUAUCUGGCCCAUUUAAUUGGUGUCUAAGGCAAGCAAUGGGGGGACCCCUACGAAAAUUGGUGUCUAAGGCAAGCAACGAGGGGACCCCUACGACCCCACCUCUUAUUUGGCUAGUUGAAAGAAGUGAAAACAAACCCAAUUUGCAUUUAGGCUAAGCCACUUUAUAUUGAACU